GGAGAGGUGGCUCAGUGGUUAAGAGCGCUGGUUGCUCUUCCAGAGGUCUUGAGUUCAAUUCUCAGCAACCACA
rnacentral:tRNA from 1 species